UGAUAGAUUAAUGGAAAGACAGAUGGUCAACACCGCCAACUCUUGAGUUAUUCUAAUCGAAUAAUGGGAUUGUAAAGCGCCAGCGGCUGAAAUAGCAAACAUUUUCGGCAAUGGGAUUCGAACCCGCAGUUUGUGAGUGGAGCGCCCUAACUAUCACACCAUACCAGGCCCAGUCUCAUCCGAAGCGCUCAGCUCAUGAAUGAAACUAAGACAACUACAAGCUCGUGGCUUGAUGAAGUAGACAAGAACAGUUCAAGGAAAACGAUGAUACAGACUGGCUGUCCUUGACGUCGACACAGCACGUGACCAUCUAAAAGAGACAUAUGUUAAUGUUACUUCUAGGCACAUGGUCAGGUCUUCAAAAUAAAAAUCUUUCUUCCACAAAUAAUCGAUUCUAAUUUUACUUGCAUUUAGUGCUUGAUUUGUUUAUCACUAAUAAAUUAAGUAGAAUUUAUUUUUAUCAACAGAACUUUGUACGAGGACCUCUUUAUGAGAUUCGGGUGCAGAUAAGACAGUUAAGUUGCGGAGAAAGUGAUACUGAUAUUUCUGGAACCGAAGAAUCGAUUGUAACUCCAAGCUCCGAAACUUUGGUCGCUAUGGAAUAUGUUUUUUUUCUUUCUUUCCUUUUUUUCGCCCAAAGUUAGUUACUAUAUUUUUUAAUUUGGUAAAAAACAAAACACAAAACUAUUUAGUAACAGGGUGUUUGGGUCAACUGUAAUGUUGGAAAUUCCGACAGACUUUCAAAACGAAAAACGUUAUGAAUAAAUGAAUCAACAUAACUUACAACAUAGCAUGACCAGUAUAUAAUAGCAGGUUGAGUACAUCAGUCAAGCUGGAUUAACGGAUGUCACGUAUUAGAACCUCCAUGUGAUUACGUUGAUGUGACUAAAAUACGAGUCGGGUCCUGGCUCAGCAUGUCCUGAGCAGUUUUUUUAGUUGAUUUCGAAUCCCUUAGUUAUUUUUUUUUUAUUGGAGAACUUCAGCCUGACUCGCUCCUAAUGUAUGUAAUGGCCUUAAACACCUUCGUAAAGUCACCUUGGUAAUAAUGGCCCAUUUCAUGAUUCUAUCUAGGAAAACUGACAACAGUUGUGCAUCGGGAUUUCGGUGACGUUUUCCUUGACCACAAUAACAAGAACAACAUCUACUGGACUGUCUUUGGUGUGAUUGGUAGCUUUCAUCAAAACGCUGUUUAUAACAGUAUCAUAACAUCUUGUGUUUCAACAGCACUUGAACUAACUUCCAGUCAACUGACCUUUCUUGGGAUAUUUACUUCAGUGAUUAUUCUACAUUUAUUUAAGCGUUCCUCUGAGUUGAGAGACAAGUUUACAAUCAUCCGUCAAUUCGGGCAGGUAGUUUAAACCAUUUAUCGACAAGCUUGAUGAAUUCCAGCCUCGAUGCAAGUUUGACAAGCUUCUUUUAGCAUAAACACAUGAAUUUUCUGUUUUUCUUCGUUUUGAUGUACGUUUCUUCGUAUGAAUGGUAUCAGUGAACUAAUCUCGCACCCAGUGAAUCGAACAUAUCAUGGGACGUUUCUUAGUCGUAAAAUAGAAUAGAUCAUUCCACAUCCUCAGGAUGCUCUAUUAGGAAUUCAUUCCUAUUUCAACUACUUAAAAACGUAACUCGUAAAGCCUCUCUACGAUGAGUCAUUAUAAAAUGACAGGAAAGAGCUCAGUAAUGACUGAUAGAAAAUCUGGCUUUCCUGUUUAGGCUACUCGGCGCUGUUGUGACUGAUUCCGUCAAGUGGACAGAAAGACGGACAACUAGAUGUUACUAGUUUCAUCCAUCAAUUAGGAAACAGUCUCAUAAUGAGGAUGAUAGGCUGUCUACAAUUCUUUCCCAUCAUAAUCGGUUGUUUUUCUGUGGGUUUGGAUGGGGAAGUGUUCAGGUGAAAGUUGUGUAUUCAGAGAUGAUUUUGUUAAUGAAGUGUGUUGUUCAUAUUAUAAAUGCAAUCUCAAGAGUGAUUGUAGUAUUUUAUAGGCAUUGUAAUUAGAAGUGGAUUAGUCCUUAAUUAGAACUCCUAUGCACUGUAGCUGACAGAGAAAUUCGCGAGGUCUGAUUUUCAGAUGUUUCUAAUAUUAUUUGGCCUCGUUUUUCGGAACAACACCUUAUAAACUCAAUGAUCUGAACAGCCAGUUCAGAGACUCAUAUGGUUCAGACAUCUAUUCCUAAUUUUGAACUUUGGACAACAUGGAAGGCAACCUGUCGACAAAACCCUCUGCCAGUCUUUGUCAAGUAGUGGGUUGACUAUCACUCUUAUAACGCACCCACAGCUGAAAAGUGCGAAGCAUGUUUAGUGAUACCAUGUCUCGAACCCUGUUUUCCAAACCAACACACUAAACUCGGAUCAAUAUUUAUGUGUGUAUGUGGGGGGGGGGGGGGG